rnacentral:lncRNA from 1 species
CCAGCCAGAGACCCAAGAGUGAGCAAGGCAGAAGCGGCAGUGUUUCUCAGGGCCUCACCUGGAAGACUAUCCAUCACUUCUGCACUAUCUUCUUGCUUACACAGGUCAACCUUGUUCACCGUGGAAGGGGUACAUAGGGACACGCAUACCAGAUAAGAAUCAUGGGGCCAUCUUGGAGUUAAGAAUCUGUGUGGUCUUCCUCCCUCCUUCACCGCAUUUCUCUCCCUUAGACCCCGAGACUGGGUUACUGGGGCCCAUGUAGGCCCCACUCACCUGAUCGCAGUUCACUCAUCCAGGGAGAAGCACCCGACCCAGGCAGCCCUCCCCCAGACUUUCUUAAUUUGGGAGAGAGUGAGUCAGUUCUCUGAUGGAAGAUGUUGCCUGUGGGUGAUUAUUUUCCAAGUGGGUGGAGAAAUUAGCCAGCAGAGACAAGAGAACUCAUUCCAGGCCUCGACUCCCCUUUGUCCAUGAGGCCCAAUGAUAUCCUUGCUCUGCUUUGUCCACUAGCUGGGUUUGGGGAACAAUAAAUUCCCCCUUCCUCCCAAGUCUGAGUUGGGCUUCUGUCAGUCCGUCACUUCUUCCUGGGUGGCUUCUGUGGAAGAUGAUGCCAGGCAGGUCUUUCUCAGGGUGUGGCCAAUGCCACAGGCAGCAAAAUCACCUAGGGCUCUUGCUGAAAGUGUCGGUGCCUGGGCUGGUCUCAGACCCAGGGGGUGGGCCCGGGAAUCUGCGAUUGUAAGCUGAGGUUUGGCUACGACCGUGCUGGGUGUCCUCCAGUAAGCACACGCCACCUCUGCUUCUCCUGUGCUCAGGCCUGCAGUUCACAGUGGCCAGAGCUGCUGUGGACUGAGACACCCAAGAUGUGGAGGGCCCGUGGGGAAAUGAGGGCUCACAGGUGUGGGACGAAAUGGAGUUAGGAGCUGUGGGGAGAGCGCUGUGGCAUUCCAGGCUGAGCUGGGGGACCAGUCUGAGGUGGGAACCUUCUGACUGCGCCUCAUUCUUGGUGGACGGUCUUGGCAAGUCACGUCAACUCACAUUCCCCUCCUCCCCAGUUAAAAGAGGAGGUUGCCCAGUGUUGCACAGGUCCCUUCCAGCUCUCAACCUCAAGUGGGGGCCCUGGGAGGCAGGCGAGUCCCUUUCCCAGAGGGCUGGCUCCUGAGGUCGCUCUGGGUUGCUUCCUGAGGGGGCGGUGGCACGCGGGCGCCCCUCCAGGGCCAAGGGCUGAUCUGCGCUCUGAGCGAGUGAGUUCACUUUGCUCCU